rnacentral:rRNA from 1 species
UAUCUAAACGGAGAGAUUCAAUACUGAACUUAACACUCAGUGUGCACUUCUCUCUUAGUAAGACGCCGUGAUCCAUUAGAAAUUGGUAGACGCCAGUCUAUAUGAGGUCAUCAAUGGGCUUGUACGAAGUUUAUUGGAACGAAUGGCAUAAUCUUUCAACGGUUGUGUGUAUUGUCUGGUAAGCGUGCGAGUACUCGUAAUGACUGUCUGAUGGAUUUUAAAGAUUGUAUCACUGAUGUUACGGCAUCACUCGCUUCGGCGAGCGUUUGAUAUGUAUCCGAUCAACGGCGGUUAAAUUUGGGAUACCUUUUGGACCCGUCUUGAAACACGGACCAAGGAGUCUAUCUAAUGUGCGAGUAAAUGAGUUGUAAACUUAUUUGCGUAAUAAACGUAACUAUUUAAUGGGAUUACGAGUCACCAUGCUCUUCCAUCCCGGAGUAUUUUCAUCCACAUAUACGCAAGUAUAUGGAAAAUAUAUCAUGAGCAUAUUGGAUACGACCCGAAAGAUGGUGAACUAUGCUUGAUCAGGUCGAAGUCAGGGGAAACCCUGAUGGAGGACCGAAGCAGUUCUGACGUGCAAAUCGAUUGUCAGAAUUGAGCAUAGGGGCGAAAGACCAAUCGAACCAUCUAG